GAUGAACGCUGGCGGCGUGCCUAAUACAUGCAAGUCGAGCGAACAGACGAGGAGCUUGCUCCUCUGACGUUAGCGGCGGACGGGUGAGUAACACGUGGAUAACCUACCUAUAAGACUGGGAUAACUUCGGGAAACCGGAGCUAAUACCGGAUAAUAUAUUGAACCGCAUGGUUCAAUAGUGAAAGACGGUUUUGCUGUCACUUAUAGAUGGAUCCGCGCCGCAUUAGCUAGUUGGUAAGGUAACGGCUUAACAAGGCGACGAAGCGGAGCUGACCUGAGAGGAGGAAUCGACACACUGGAACUGAGAAAAGGUCCAGACCCCCACGGGAGGGCACCGUUGGGAAUUUUGCCCCAUGGGCGAAAGCCUGAACGAGCCAUCGCGCGUGGGUGAAUAAGGGUUUCGGGUUCUAAAACCCUUUUUUUGGGGAAGAAAAAAAGUUGGUAAAUACUAUGCCGUUCUGACGGUACCCUAAGAAAAAGCCCCGGCUAACUUACUG
rnacentral:rRNA from 1 species